GACCCCUUCAGUCAACACCAAACGGGGAUUGAGCCUCAGUGUCUCCAGGGCCACAGCCAUUGGUCAGAAAGCCCUGACAUGCAAAGGGAGGGGAGGUUGGAGGGGUGAGGAGGGGCAGCAAGAUAAGCACAUUGAGGAGGAAGAAGAGGAGGAAGGACACACACAAGAGAGAGAAGAACAACAACUUGGCAGCACUCUAGCUAAAACCUGCAGUAGGCUGGAGAACUGGUUCAUGGGUGCUGCUAUGCCAAAAUCACAGAGGUUGCAGAACAAGACGAGGACUCCAAGUUGCAGUCCAACAUGGAGGAGAUGGAGUGUGUCUGAGAGCCAGCUGGUCUAAAUGUUUCUGAUGAAGGGGAUCUAGACUCGUAAGCCUGCAAACUGCUGCUGCUGUCGGCUGUUUCUCACAAACAAAGCAUGGAGGACGAGCAGCUUUAACAGAAACCGGAGCUCCAGCAGAAACUCAGUUAGAGGAGGAGCAUGUACAGAGGCUCUGAUUGGCUUGCAUUAUCUCACAUCUGGAGAACAUCCCAGCACCUCUGACUGCAUCCCCACAUCUGGAGGAGACACGAGGAGAGAGGAAACACCUUAUUAGAGAUCUUUAGAUCACAGCUGGAUGACACUGAGAUUUAAUGUGAGCCCAAACUACGAAGUUGAAAAGUAACCGAACACCUGGGUGCAGCUGUACUUCGUAUCUCCUGAACGCUGUUUGGACUCCAAUCAGAUGAACUCAAGAACACACAAAUCUCCCCCAUAAAUCGAGCCCACUCUGGUGGUUAAACUAGAGCUAUCUGCAACUCCACAGAUUCAUGAAACCUAAUGUGGAGGCAGCUCAUUGUGUUCUUCCACCUCAUCUAUUUAAAAAGUAACGACACAGACAACAGUUACUCUCAUUUUGGUUAUUUCAAUCAUGUGAUAUCGAAAAAAGUUGUUUCCAGCUGGCUAAAAAAUAAAUAAUCGGAAAAUGGUAAUAAAGUUGCCAAUAAUAAAGUUGAAGCGUUUUGUUGUUUUGGGGUUUUUUGGAUUCAUUUUGUAAUUUGUAACCGACCACAGACAAAGAUUAGUUGGAAGAGGUAUUAACUGGCAGUAAUCCUCUUCGGCUAAAUCAGCACAAUACUAUCAUAGGAAUGAUUUCUCAGCUUGGGAGAUUCCAGCCCUCCAAGGAGCACAUGAAUGCAACCGUGCAUGCACUCUUAUUAUUAAAGCAAAUUAAUCACAUUUUUGAGGUUCAAGAC